AGUGGCGGACGGGUGAGUAACGUGUGAGUAACCUGCCUUCAAGAGGGGGAUAACAUUCUGAAAAGAAUGCUAAUACCGCAUGACAUAUCGGGAUCACAUGAUUUUGAUAUCAAAGAUUUUAUCGCUUGAAGAUGGACUCGCGUCCGAUUAGUUAGUUGGUGAGGUAACGGCUCACCAAGACCGCGAUCGGUAGCCGGACUGAGAGGUUGAACGGCCACAUUGAGACUGAGACACGGCCCAGACUCCUACGGGAGGCAGCAGUGGGGGAUAUUGCGCAAUGGGGGCAACCCUGACGCAGCAACGCCGCGUGAAGGAUGAAGGUUUUCGGAUUGUAAACUUCUUUUAUUAAGGACGAAAAAUGACGGUACUUAAUGAAUAAGCUCCGGCUAACUACGUGCCAGCAGCCGCGGUAAUACGUAGGGAGCAAGCGUUGUCCGGAUUUACUGGGUGUAAAGGGUGCGUAGGCGGCUUUGCAAGUCAGAUGUGAAAUCUAUGGGCUCAACCCAUAAACUGCAUUUGAAACUGUAGAGCUUGAGUGAAGUAGAGGCAGGCGGAAUUCCCCGUGUAGCGGUGAAAUGCGUAGAGAUGGGGAGGAACACCAGUGGCGAAGGCGGCCUGCUGGGCUUUAA
rnacentral:rRNA from 1 species